GAUGAACGCUCGCGGCAGGCCUAACACAUGCAAGUCGAGGGGGAGGUUACUUUCGGGUAACUGAGACCGGCGUACGGGUGCGUAACGCGUAUACAAUCUGCCUUUCACUGGGGGAUAGCCCGAAGAAAUUUGGAUUAAUACCCCAUAGUAUAGUAAUACGGCAUCAUGAUGCUAUUAAAGCUUAGGUGGUGAAAGAUGAGUAUGCGUUCUAUUAGCUAGUUGGAGAGGUAACGGCUCCCCAAGGCGAUGAUAGAUAGGGGUUCUGAGAGGGAUGUCCCCCACACUGGUACUGAGAUACGGACCAGACUCCUACGGGAGGCAGCAGUGAGGAAUAUUGGACAAUGGUCGGAAGACUGAUCCAGCCAUGCCGCGUGCAGGAUGAAGGUCUUAUGGAUUGUAAACUGCUUUUGUAAGGGAAGAAUAAGGGCUACGCGUAGUUUGAUGACGGUACCUUACGAAUAAGCAUCGGCUAACUCCGUG
rnacentral:rRNA from 1 species